UUAUACUCAGAUGGAACGUGACGCCAGC
rnacentral:sRNA from 1 species